GUAAGAUAUAGCAACAGGGAUACUGUGGUAGGGUCUGUCUUCUAUUAGUGCUGCAUAUUGUUGUGGUUUUGAUCACUGAAAUGGCUGUGACUUUUGGACUCUCUUUGAGUGUUUCUUGGAUUUGUUGCCUGCUAAUUGGAGGGAUAACGUGUUUUACCCUUCAAGAUGAUGCUUAUGGGCAUCCUGCCUACACUGAACCAGAAUCAACUGGAUCCCAAGCAAGUGUGGUGUCUGGUCCAAAUGCUAAAUCUAAUGGCCGCAAUACCCCAGCAAGUGUGACGUGUCGAAAUGCCUCAGCAGAAGCGACAGGCCCCUGCGCCUCAGCAGAAGCUACUGCCAAAAAUACCCCAGCAAGUGUGACGUU